CUAAACAUGAAAGUACGAGCGAAUGAGAGGAGCUUGCUCCUUGAUUUAGCGGCGGACGGGUGAGUAAUGCCUAGGAAUCUGCCUGGUAGUGGGGGAUAACGUUCCGAAAGGAACGCUAAUACCGCAUACGUCCUACGGGAGAAAGCAGGGGACCUUCGGGCCUUGCGCUAUCAGAUGAGCCUAGGUCGGAUUAGCUAGUUGGUGAGGUAAUGGCUCACCAAGGCGACGAUCCGUAACUGGUCUGAGAGGAUGAUCAGUCACACUGGAACUGAGACACGGUCCAGACUCCUACGGGAGGCAGCAGUGGGGAAUAUUGGACAAUGGGCGAAAGCCUGAUCCAGCCAUGCCGCGUGUGUGAAGAAGGCCUUCGGAUUGUAAAGCACUUUAAGUUGGGAGGAAGGGCAUUAACCUAAUACGUUAGUGUUUUGACGUUACCGAACAGAAUAAGCACCGGCUAACUUCGUGCCAGCAGCGCGGUAAUACGAAGGGUGAAGCGUUAAUCGGAAUUACUGGGCGUAAAGCGCGCGUAG
rnacentral:rRNA from 1 species